AAUCCGUGCUGUGGGAACUUCUGCAAAAGAUCCUUGAAGUGCUCCCAUGUCUCAAACAAUGACUCUAACUCCAUUUUUAUAAAUGACGAUAUCUCAUUGCGAAGCUU